UCCUGACUGAUGUUUCAUGUGGAACAUUAGACACUAGCCAAGACAGGAGAUAAUAAUG
rnacentral:ncRNA from 1 species